ACAAUUGAGGACUUUUUUUCUUUGUAAUUUUGUAAUUGGCAAUUUGCUUUGCUUUCAAAUUUUGUAACAAAAAGGCCUUUCAUUGGAAGUAAGUUGGGAGCCUCCGCUAGGUCACCCUACUUCCAUUUGUGUGUAAUAAUUUUAGGCAAUUUCCCCUUAGGAUAGUGAGUGUUUUGUUGGGAACCUUAAAUGAGGUCAUCCAAACACUCUUAGGAUCCGCCUAGUUUGCAUUUCUU
rnacentral:lncRNA from 1 species